AUGGUUCCUAAGAAAGAUGAUUCACUCCGUAUGUGUAUUGAAUUCAAGCAUAUCAAUCGGGCCUGCCCGAAGGAUCACUUCCCUCUUCCUCGCAUCGAUCAGAUAGUCGACUCGACUGCGGGAUGUGAGCGGUUGUCUUUCCUGGAUGCAUAUUCCGGGUACCAUCAGAUCCGACUUUAUGGACCUGAUGAAAUAAAAAUAGCUUUUAUCACCCCAUUCGGGUGCUUUUGCUAUGUCACCAUGCCCUUUGGUCUCAAGAAUGCUAGUGCCACAUUCAUGAGCAUGAUACAGAAGUGCCUGCUCACUCAAAUCAGUCGGAAUGUGGAAGCAUACAUGGAUGACAUCGUGGUUAAGUCACGUAAAGGUUCCGACCUGCUGACUGACCUCGCUGAAACCUUUGCCAAUCUGAGGAGAUAUGAUAUCAAGCUCAAUGUGUCGAAGUGUAUGUUUGGAGUCCCAGGUGGCAAGUUACUCGGUUUCCUCGUUUCCGAACGUGGGAUCGAUGCAAACCUAGAGAAAGUUGGUGCAAUACUCCGAAUGAAACGCCCUGUGCGUGUACACGACAUUCAGAAGCUUACCGGUUGUUUGGCCUCUUUGAGUCGAUUCAUCUCUCAUCUCGGUGAAAAGGCAUUGCCUCUUUACUGCCUGAUGAAGAAAUCUGAUAAGUUCGAGUGGACUCCUGAAGCUGACGCAGCGUUUGCAGAGCUCAAAACCCUACUUUCCACCCAGCCGGUGCUUGCUGCUCCAAUCAGCAAAGAGCCUUUACAGCUUUAUAUUGCAGCCACUGGACAAGUCGUCAGUGUAUUAUAUUUCUGA
rnacentral:rRNA from 1 species